rnacentral:rRNA from 1 species
UACGUAGGGUGCGAGCGUUGUCCGGAAUUAUUGGGCGUAAAGAGCUCGUAGGCGGUCUGUCGCGUCGGUCGUGAAAACUUGGGGCUUAACCCUGAGCCUGCUUCCGAUACGGGCUGACUAGAGGUAUGCAGGGGAGAACGGAAUUCCUGGUGUAGCGGUGAAAUGCGCAGGAUAUCAGGAGGAACACCGGUGGCGAAGGCGGUUCUCUGGGCAUUACCUGACGCUGAGGAGCGAAAGUGUGGGGAGCGAACAGG